rnacentral:lncRNA from 1 species
UAAGUGAAUACGUUUCAGAUAUAUUGAUGAAGCAAUAUAGACUGGUUCGGUUUCUUAUCUUCCUCUUAUCAAUUUUUAUAUGCUUCGUCACAAUCCAUUCUCAAUGCCCACCAACACUACCUGCGCCUCAACGAAUGCCACCACCACCACCACCACCUGGCCCAUCUUCAAAGCCAUGUCCACCGCAAGGCACAUAUAAAUUCCCACCUGCUCCUCAACCGGUGCCAUCACUAGCACCUUGCACAUGUCCGUGUCCAUCAGACCCAUCUCCAAGACAAGAGCCACCAAAGAACGUUACCGUACCGGCAUUGUUUGUAUUUGGGGAUUCGCUCGUAGACACAGGAAAUAACAAUAACGUAAGCACACCUCUGAGGUGUAAUUUUCGACCAUACGGUAUCGAUUUCUUACAAGGUGUUCCCACUGGUCGGUACUCCGAUGGCAAAGUCCCUUCCGAUUUUUUAGGUUCUUUCCUUUGGCCUUUUUCUCCUUUUCUUCUUACAGUUAACUCUAGUAAGUCGAGUUUUGCUAGUUUUCUUUUAGUAAAAAACAAAGUUGAUUAUGUAAAUUGAAGCCCCGAUUGUUUGUAUGGAUUUACGUAUAAACAAGUGUUUGCAUUUCCAUGUUAAAAUAAACAUGCAUGGAAUGCAUACGUAAAAUGCAUGCAAGCAUACAAAUAAUCGGUGGAUUCGUAUAAUAUACAUCUCUGUUUAAUAAAUGCGUUGAACGAAUAUGAUUUCUACUAGAACUUUUUUUAUUAUAUAUUUAUCAGUUGGAAUAUAAUAAUAUAUGCUAUUAUGUUUAGCAAAAAAAAAUAUGUGCUAUUUUUUUUUCUUUUUUAAAAUACAUUUUGAUUUCAUCUUUAUUUUGCAGCGGAGUAUUUGGGGAUAAAAUCGGUCGUACCAGCAUAUAUGGAUCCAAAAUUACAACCAGAUGAUUUACUCACCGGUGUAUGCUUCGCUUCGGGUGGUAGUGGUUACAUUCCUAUGACACCCACAUAUUUGGUAAACUCGAAUUAGUCUCCUCUCACCACCACUUGGUUACUGAAUUGGGUUUGAUUACCAAAAAUAAGUUGUUGGUCGUGUCUCAUGUGGGUGUUGCUUCCCCUUUUGUGUGUAUAUUAAAGUCUUUUGAGUGAUGGAACUGUCUUUACCUUCAACGUCUUUGAUCAUAGACAUGCUUCAAAAGUUUUAAUAUUAUAUAUAUGAUUUCAUUGUUCACGUGACUGAGCACUGCUCAAUUAAACAAUUCAAGAUUAUACAUGAAUUUCUGCUAUUCGCUAAUAAACCAGUUCAUAGUAUAAUCUUGAAAAUUAUGGACACAUCUUGAAAUCGCAGAAAUUAAUUGAUGCCAUGGUAAUGUGCUUUACCGCAGUUAAAGCUAAAUAUUAGGAAGUUUCAAAAUGUGUGAACAAAAAAGACACACAACCAGCUCCAUACACGGUCACAUGCAUAGCAUGUCCAAAUCAAUUUUUAUAUAUUGACUUGAUAGCCAAACACAUAAGCAAAUAAGUGAAUACAUUUCAUAUAGUGAUGAAGCAAUAUAGACUGGUUCGGUUUCUUAUCUUCCUCUUAUCAAUUUUUAUAUGCUUCGUCACAAUCCAUUCUCAAUGCCCACCAACACUACCUGCGCCUCAACGAAUGCCACCACCACCACCACCACCUGGCCCAUCUUCAAAGCCAUGUCCACCGCAAGGCACAUAUAAAUUCCCACCUGCUCCUCAACCGGUGCCAUCACUAGCACCUUGCACAUGUCCGUGUCCAUCAGACCCAUCUCCAAGACAAGAGCCACCAAAGAACGUUACCGUACCGGCAUUGUUUGUAUUUGGGGAUUCGCUCGUAGACACAGGAAAUAACAAUAACGUAAGCACACCUCUGAGGUGUAAUUUUCGACCAUACGGUAUCGAUUUCUUACAAGGUGUUCCCACUGGUCGGUACUCCGAUGGCAAAGUCCCUUCCGAUUUUUUAGGUUCUUUCCUUUGGCCUUUUUCUCCUUUUCUUCUUACAGUUAACUCUAGUAAGUCGAGUUUUGCUAGUUUUCUUUUAGUAAAAAACAAAGUUGAUUAUGUAAAUUGAAGCCCCGAUUGUUUGUAUGGAUUUACGUAUAAACAAGUGUUUGCAUUUCCAUGUUAAAAUAAACAUGCAUGGAAUGCAUACGUAAAAUGCAUGCAAGCAUACAAAUAAUCGGUGGAUUCGUAUAAUAUACAUCUCUGUUUAAUAAAUGCGUUGAACGAAUAUGAUUUCUACUAGAACUUUUUUUAUUAUAUAUUUAUCAGUUGGAAUAUAAUAAUAUAUGCUAUUAUGUUUAGCAAAAAAAAAUAUGUGC